AACGAACGCUGGCGGCAGGCCUAACACAUGCAAGUCGAGCGCGCCCUUCGGGGUUAGCGGCGGACGGGUGAGUAACGCGUGGGAACGUGCCCUUUUCUACGGAAUAGCCUCGGGAAACUGAGAGUAAUACCGUAUACGCCCUUUGGGGGAAAGAUUUAUCGGAAAAGGAUCGGCCCGCGUUGGAUUAGGUAGUUGGUGGGGUAAUGGCCUACCAAGCCGACGAUCCAUAGCUGGUUUGAGAGGAUGAUCAGCCACACUGGGACUGAGAAACGGCCCAGACUCCUACGGGAUGGAGGAGUGGGGAAUCUUAGAAAAUGGGGGGAACGCUGAUCGAGCCAUGACGGGUGAGUGAUGAAGGUCUUAGGGUUGUAAAGCUCUUUCAGCUGGGAAGAUAAUGACGGUACCAGCAGAAGAAGCCCCGGCUAACUCCGUG
rnacentral:rRNA from 1 species